rnacentral:rRNA from 1 species
UCGUAGGUGGUUGAUCGCGUCGGAAGUGUAAUCUUGGGGCUUAACCCUGAGCGUGCUUUCGAUACGGGUUGACUUGAGGAAGGUAGGGGAGAAUGGAAUUCCUGGUGGAGCGGUGGAAUGCGCAGAUAUCAGGAGGAACACCAGUGGCGAAGGCGGUUCUCUGGGCCUUUCCUGACGCUGAGGAGCGAAAGCGUGGGGAGCGAACAGGCUUAGAUACCCUGGUAGUCCACGCUGUAAACGGUGGGUACUAGGUGUGGGGUCCUUCCAGGGUUCCGUGCCGUAGCUAACGCUUUAAGUACCCCGCCUGGGGAGUACGGCCGCAAGGCUAAAACUCAAAGGAAUUGACGGGGCCCCGCACAAGCGGCGGAGCAUGCGGAUUAAUUCGAUGCAACGCGUAGAACCUUACCUGGGUUUGACAUGAUCGGGAGUGCUCAGAGAUGGGUGUGCCUCUUUUGGGGUCGGUUCACAGGUGGUGCAUGGCUGUCGUCAGCUCGUGUCGUGAGAUGUUGGGUUAAGUCCCGCAACGAGCGCAACCCUUGUUCACUGUUGCCAGCACGUUAUGGUGGGGACUCAGUGGAGACCGCCGGGGUCAACUCGGAGGAAGGUGGGGAUGACGUCAAGUCAUCAUGCCCCUUAUGUCCAGGGCUUCACGCAUGCUACAAUGGCUGGUACAGAGAGUGGCGAGCCUGUGAGGGUGAGCGAAUCUCGGAAAGCCGGUCUCAGUUCGGAUUGGGGUCUGCAACUCGACCUCAUGAAGUCGGAGUCGCUAGUAAUCGCAGAUCAGCACGCUGCGGUGAAUACGUUCCCGGGGCUUGCACACAC